GUUGAUUUAGCUCAGCGGCAUAAGCACCUGCCUUGCAAGCAGGCGAUCGUGAGUUCGAUCCCCGCUACCGAUU
rfam:Cavia porcellus supercont2_30 genomic scaffold, whole genome shotgun sequence.